UACGGGGGGGGCAAGCGUUGUUCGGAAUUACUGGGCGUAAAGGGCUCGUAGGCGGCCAACUAAGUCGGACGUGAAAUCCCUCGGCUUAACCGGGGAACUGCGUCCGAUACUGGAUGGCUUGAGUUCGGGAGAGGGAUGCGGAAUUCCAGGUGUAGCGGUGAAAUGCGUAGAUAUCUGGAGGAACACCGGUGGCGAAGGCGGCAUCCUGGACCGACACUGACGCUGAGGAGCGAAAGCCAGGGGAGCAAGCGGG
rnacentral:rRNA from 1 species